GGGUUGUGAGGUUAAGCGACUAAGCGUACACGGUGGAUGCCCUGGCAGUCAGAGGCGAUGAAGGACGUGCUAAUCUGCGAUAAGCGCCGGUAAGGUGAUAUGAACCGUUAUAACCGGCGAUUUCCGAAUGGGGAAACCCAGUGUGACUCGUCACACUAUCAUUAACUGAAUCCAUAGGUUAAUGAGGCGAACCGGGGGAACUGAAACAUCUAAGUACCCCGAGGAAAAGAAAUCAACCGAGAUUCCCCCAGUAGCGGCGAGCGAACGGGGAGGAGCCCAGAGCCUGAAUCAGCAUGUGUGUUAGUGGAAGCGUCUGGAAAGGCGCGCGAUACAGGGUGACAGCCCCGUACACAAAAGCGCAUGUGCUGUGAGCUCGAUGAGUAGGGCGGGACACGUGGUAUCCUGUCUGAAUAUGGGGGGACCAUCCUCCAAGGCUAAAUACUCCUGACUGACCGAUAGUGAACCAGUACCGUGAGGGAAAGGCGAAAAGAACCCCGGCGAGGGGAGUGAAAAAGAACCUGAAACCGUGUACGUACAAGCAGUGGGAGCCCCACCACUAAGCCAGUGGUGAACUCCACAUACGCAUCCUUUGCU
rnacentral:rRNA from 1 species